rnacentral:lncRNA from 1 species
GAUCGCCAUUAUUCUAUUACACAAAAAUAGCAUUUAUAUACAGGAUUUGCAAAAUAAUAUGGUUUGUGGCGACUUCCAGAAGGUGUUAAGAAUAAAGUCAAAAAAUGAAGCGCUGUAAAAGUAUCGAAUGGCACAUCUCGAACACUCAUUUAUAUGUACAAUCGCCGAAUGAACCGCCGCUGAACGUUUAGCGGUUGACUCUGCAGCCCGCUUUCUCUGGGUUUCGAACAACAUUUUGAGUGAGCCUGGAGCCAGCCUAGGAGCCAGUAAAAUUCGAGUGGCAAAAAACCGUGCUGCGUUUAUAUUAGUAUUAUCAUAUUGGUAUCAUAUUAGUAUUCUAUUGUCCUUGGUAUAUGUAAGUACAUCCCAUGCAAAUUAAAAUAGAUUUCAGGAGUACCUAGACUUUUUAUUGCCUUAUUUUAUUUAGUAUUUUUUUUAGAACAUUUUUAUCAGGUUUCGGUCUUGUUCUAGUUUGGAAGACAACGAACAACGAUGAGUUCAGAUAUUGACCCUGAUUAUUCCACCCGCCGUCUGCGGCAAAGACAAACUAAGAAAGGCGAAUCUAAUGACGAUAAUGUUGCCAAUGAAUCAGAGAAGAACAAGCGAAGAGGAAAGAAAAGAGGUCCACAUUACGGGAAAAAUAGUGCUUAUGAUGAAUAUGGGAUUAUUCGCUACAAUGGAUUAGAUAUCUGCGACUGCAUGAGCGCAAAGUGUGAUGGAUGCUGGUACGAAUGUCAAAGUUGUGGCUCUACCAGGUGCGGUCCAACCUGUAGAGCUAAUCGAAAGUUUUUCUACGAAGGAAUUAACUACGACGGAAAGGACUUAUCCAUAACUAAUCAAUUCCUUCCGAAAUGAACUGAACUAGUUUUAAAGCAGCUAUGUACGUAUGUAUGUACAUGACGCUGUUAAACUAAAUCAUGAGCUAAGUUACAUACAUAUGUACCACUGUUUUUAAAUACACAUUUUUAUGUAAAUUUGAUUCUAUAAAAAACAACAACGGAUCAACGUAUUCGCAUCCUAGCGGUAAAGAUUUGGAACUACUGGUUGUUGGAAAAUAUUAUAUUUCUUAAACAAAAGCCGCUUGUUUUUCUGAGGGGUCCUUCAGGCAUCUAAAUAUAACCAACGAUUCUUCUGUGCCGUCGCCUUGGCACAGAGAAGAUCGACAAUUUUUCCU